CUCUUGGCAGACCACUCCUCCUCUUCUUCUUCUUCUUCUUCCCCAUUUUUUCCACCGUUUGAUUUCUUCUUUGGCACCUUCUCUGCCUUCACAAUCAGCAUCUUCUCUUCAACCCACACCUUCACAUCUUCCUUGGUCAUUCCAGGCAUGUCAAACCGCAUUUUGUACGCGCUUUCUCCCUCUUUUAUCUCCCAUGGUGUCCUUCCUCCGCCGUAGCCACUUCCAUUAAUCGGUGAUUGUGGUGCUGAUGGCCACCCGCUCGAAUAUGCAAUUGGGUCCUCCAUCAUUCUCUCCAUUGACUCCAGCAUCUGAUGCACUGUUCUGGCUGUUGGGAAUCUGUCCCACAGCCCUGCAGAAAUGAAGGCAAACAGAAAUAAAUCAAAAGUUGGGUUCUGUAAAUAUAACACACUUGGGAUAAUUGAGAAGGAAAUAAUAAAUUACCUAC
rnacentral:lncRNA from 1 species